UGCCCCAUCGUCUAAUGGCAAGACACUGGUUUUUGGUACCAGUUAUCGGGGUUCGAAUCCCUGUGGGGCAACCA
rnacentral:tRNA from 1 species